UUUCCAUGUCCUUAUAAGAUUCAGUGAAGACCUGGAGAAGCUCCUCAAUUUCCUCAAUUGUCUGGAAGAAGGAGUUCAUCUCUUUGCUAUUACAUGAUGAAAUGAGAUCUUCAGUUGUGGGAUCCUGAAAAAGGAAAAAAAGGAAAAAAAAAAGAAGAAGAAAAGCGGACUCGUGUAAUUCCUGUCUACCCCUCCCCCCACCACCACUGAACCGGCGUCUCCUCUGAGCCGGAGAACUCCAUUCGUCAAGCACAGCUGCCUGAUACCGCAGAGAAACGGAACCAAAGAAGAAUUUCUGAUUUCCACACCACCGGCUCAGGAUCUGCCUCAGAUCGCUAAGGCUUCAGGUUCUCAGGAAAGCAGAUGGGACCUAUCCCAGAUUAAAGGGAUUCUUAAAACAAUCA